GAAAGAACGAGAAUCAAGCGAAUCAAAAUGGGGGAUUAUCAUUUUGUGUACAAAGAUGUUGAAGGAGCAUCAACACAAUGGGAUGAUAUACAGAGGAAGCUUGGAAAUCUCCCUCCAAAAGCUCCUGUUUUUAAGCCCGACCCGUUUACACCUGGUGAGGAUGAAGGUUCAAAAUCCAAAGACAAGGAUUGGAUCGAUGAGAAGACUCAAGAUGAGCUUGAUGAUCUUGAAGAUGACCCAGAUCUCAAUGACGAUCGCUUCCUUCAGGAAUACAGGAAGAAGAGGAUGGCCGAGAUGAGAGAAGUUGCUAAGGUUGUGAGAUUUGGAUCAGUGAUACCAAUUUCUGGAUCAGAUUUUGUGCGAGAGGUUUCCCAAGCUCCAGAAGACAUCUGGGUGGUUGUGCUUCUGUAUAAGGAUGGAUACUCAGGCUGCCAGAUACUUUUGCAGUGCUUAGACGAACUAGCAACAAAAUACCCUGUAACAAAAUUUGUCAAAAUUAUCUCUACCGAUUGCAUUCCGAACUAUCCAGAUUGUAAUCUUCCAACUGUUUUGGUGUACCACAAUGGUGCAUUAAAGUCAAAUUAUGUUGGACUUCAUAGUUUUGGUCGGAGAUGCACACCUGAAGGUGUUGCAUUGACACUCUGCCAGUCAGAUCCUGUUCUAAACGAUGGGCGUAGCAAGAAGGAACAGUCCCGAGAAGCUGUGCUGGAUGGAGUAAGGAAAAGGUUUCUCGAGAAGGUUGUGGCACAGCAUGAAGAUGACGAUGGAUCUUCUAGUGAUUAGUCCUGAAAUUUUCUUUGCAUCUUUUGUAGUUUGAUGGAAUAUUUAUGUUUCCCAGUCAUACUUCUGAUGCACCUCUGUUCUUUCAUUUUUGGUUUUCCCCUUGCUAAACCACUCUCUGUAGGUUUCUGAUGUGUGAAAUAUUCUCAAGUUAGAUUUGCU
rnacentral:misc_RNA from 1 species